UAUUCUGCCCUACGGGGAAGGAUGAGAAGCUUCGACUAAGGUUCGACUCGAGCGYCAGCGAGAGAACGUUGCCGCAGGCAACGGCCCGAAGGGCGAGGCGCUUUAGCGCCGAGUAAUCCUUCCCCCACCACCA
rnacentral:sRNA from 1 species